rnacentral:snRNA from 1 species
ACACUCAGCGGGCAGGGGAGAUACCAUGAUCAUGAAGGCGGUUUCCCAGGACGAGGCUUAUCCAUUGCACUCUGGAUGUGCUGACUCCUGUGAUUUCCCCAAAUGUGGGGAACUCGACUGCAUAAUUUGUGGUAGUAUGGGGCUGCAUUCAUGCUCUCUGCU